rnacentral:rRNA from 1 species
UACGAAGGGGGCUAGCGUUGCUCGGAAUCACUGGGCGUAAAGGGUGCGUAGGCGGGUCUUUAAGUCAGGGGUGAAAUCCUGGAGCUCAACUCCAGAACUGCCUUUGAUACUGAAGAUCUUGAAGUUCGGGAGAGGUGAGUGGAACUGCGAGUGUAGAGGUGAAAUUCGUAGAUAUUCGCAAGAACACCAGUGGCGAAGGCGGCUCACUGGCCCGAUACUGACGCUGAG